UCCCUGGUGGCUCAGUAGAUUAAGGUCUGGGGUUGUCACCUCUGUGGCUCAGGUUUGAUCCCUGGCCAGGGAA
rnacentral:tRNA from 1 species